rnacentral:rRNA from 1 species
GACGAACGCUGGCGGCAUGCCUAAUACAUGCAAGUCGAGCGAACAGAUGAAGUGCUUGCACUUCUGACGUUAGCGGCGAACGGGUGAGUAACACGUAAGGAAUCUACCUAUAAGCGGGGGGUAACAUUCGGAAACGGGUGCUAAUACCGCAUAAUAUCUUCUUCCGCAUGGAAGAAGAUUGAAAGACGGCUCUGCUGUCACUUAUAGAUGACCUUGCGGUGCAUUAGUUAGUUGGUGGGGUAACGGCCUACCAAGACGAUGAUGCAUAGCCGACCUGGGAGGGUGGUCGGCACCAUUGGGACGGAGACACGGCCCAAACUCCUACGGGAGGGAGCAGUAGGGAAUCUUCCGCAAUGGGCGAAAGCCUGACGGAGCAAUGCCGCGUGAGUGAAGAAGGCCUUCGGGUCGUAAAACUCUGUUAUAAGAGAAGAACAAAUUGUAGAGUAACUGCUACAGUCUUGACGGUAUCUUAUCAGAAAGCCACGGCUAACUACGUGCCAGCAGCCGCCGUAA